AUUGAACGCUGGCGGCAGGCCUAACACAUGCAAGUCGGACGGUAGCACAGAGAGCUUGCUCUUGGGUGACGAGUGGCGGACGGGUGAGUAAUGUCUGGGGAUCUGCCCGAUAGAGGGGGAUAACCACUGGAAACGGUGGCUAAUACCGCAUAACGUCGCAAGACCAAAGAGGGGGACCUUCGGGCCUCUCACUAUCGGAUGAACCCAGAUGGGAUUAGCUAGUAGGCGGGGUAAUGGCCCACCUAGGCGACGAUCCCUAGCUGGUCUGAGAGGAUGACCAGCCACACUGGAACUGAGACACGGUCCAGACUCCUACGGGAGGCAGCAGUGGGGAAUAUUGAACAAUGGGCGCAAGCCUGAUGCAGCCAUGCCGCGUGUAUGAAGAAGGCCUUCGGGUUGUAAAGUACUUUCAGCGGGGAGGAAGGUGUUGAGGUUAAUAACCUCAGCAAUUGACGUUACCCGCAGAAGAAGCACCGGCUAACUCCGUGCCAGCAGCCGCCGUAAUAC
rnacentral:rRNA from 1 species